rnacentral:rRNA from 1 species
AUUGAACGCUGGCGGCAUGCUUUACACAUGCAAGUCGAACGGUAACAGGCCUUCGUUUGCUGACGAGUGUCGAACGGGGGAGUAAUGCAUCGGAACGUACCCAGAGCUUGUGGGUAACGCAUCGAAAGCUGUACUAAUACCUCAUGUGAUCUGAUGAUUAAAGCGGGGGAGCUAGCAGCAAUAUUUCGCCUCUGCCGUUUGUUACAGCCGAUGCCGGAUUAGCUAGUUGGUUGGGUAAAGGCAUACCAAGGCGACGAUCCGUAGCUGGGCUGAGAGGACGACCAGCCACACUGGGACUGAGACACGGCCCAGACUCCUACGGGAGGCAGCAGUGGGGAAUUUUGGACAAUGGGCGAAAGCCUGAUGCAGCAAUGCCGCGUGAGGGAAGAAGGCCUUCGGGUCGUAAAACGCUUUUGGCAGGAAAGAACAGGUGUCCGAUAAUACCGGGAGCUAAUGACGGUACCUGAAGAAUAAGCACCGGCUAACUACGUG